UACAUAGGGGGCAAGCGUUAUCCGGAUUUACUGGGCGUAAAGGGUGCAUAGGUUGUUAUUUAAGUUUCUGGUAUAAGCACAAUGCUUAACGUUGUGAGGCUGGGAAAACUAGAUAGCUAGAGUAAGACAGAGGCAAGUGGAAUUCCAUGUGUAGCGGUAAAAUGCGUAAAUAUAUGGAGGAACACCAGUGGCGAAGGCGGCUUGCUGGGUCUUGACUGACGCUGUUGCACGAAAGCGUGGGGAGCAAACAGGAUUAGAUACCCGGGUAGU
rnacentral:rRNA from 1 species